ensembl:lncRNA
CAGGAGCUCAGGUGAGAACAUUCGUGUUUCUCUGCUGUGUGUGGACAUUCUGACCGACGGUAUGCAUGUGUGUAUUGAAGGUAAGAGCAGCAGCACGUCCGGAGGUGCUGACCCUGUCACUGCCACACUUCACUGAUCAUGGAUCAACAUAUGGUCAAAGCUAUCAGAGUCUGAGUCAGUAUCUUCGCACCAACAUAUUCUCAGGCGCUCCUGUAGCCUGGAUGUCCACCUGCAAGGACUCUUUCAUCAGCCACCGUCCUACAGACCACACGGUGUGGUUUGGCCACAGGACAGAUGAAGUGGUCCAGUGGACCGAGAGAAACAUCAUAAACCACAAACUCACCAAGAAGCUGAUGGAAAAGAAGACGACCUCAAAAUAAAGACGGAGUUUUUACACACACACACACACACACACAUUGUGUGGCUGCGUGAUUACACUGAAAAACAUUAAGUGAUCUGCUGUAAAUAGACAGAAGAAACACAACUAAAGAGAUAGCUGGUUAGACAAAAAGGUCUGACCGAACAUGACUGUGUGUGAGUGUAAAGGCAGCAGAGAGAGUGUGGUUUCAACACAAACCACUGAAACUGACUUUUUGUCACAGGCAGGAUCAGCAGGCUGAUGUAUUAUAGACACACUGACUGAACACACACACACACACACACACACACACACACACUUUGAUGUGCAACUGUCAGUGAAGCCGUUCAGUCUGAUCCAAGCCUCUUAAAUCAAAUCAGCUGUCACACACGUCAUCAUGUUUUGUGUUAUGACUGGAUUUAACCCCC